CUGGGGAGUUAUUGUCUAAUGGGCAUGGAGUUUCAGGACGGGAUGAUGCAAACAUCCUGGAACUGGAUAUUAUCACUCAUAGGAUGGGAAAUUAAUUUGCUGGCAAGUAUAAGGCGAACUGGGGCAGGUAAAAAAUGAAGGCGAGAUGUUCCACGAGGAGGCGGGCAUAAUCGCCUAGUUCCAGAUAAUGAUUCUUUGUAUCCAGACAGGAAAGGAGGCAACAAAAGCCAGGAGCCGAAUAACAAGGGACAGAUCUAGUCUCCGAUCCUCUAGAACUUACGGUGUAAAAGACAGAAACAGUCUUUCAUCCCAUCCAUCAUGCUGCCUAAUUUCUACAACGCUGCCAGAAAGGAGGCAAGACAAGGGUUCUGGCUGCCAUGUCCAAGCAUGACAACUGAGGUCCAACAAGUUAGGGCACACGGCCAGCAGCAGCAAGGACGAGCCCGAGCCCCAGCCCUGAGUCUGAACACACCUCCUCCUUCUGUACCUUGCCACCCGCCAGCUCGUAUCCCAGGCAAGCAGGGGCAUCUGCAGGUCCCGAGUACUUCUUCCCACCUAACUCCAUGCCCUUCUCCAUCGUCACAAGUCUCGACUGAUAGAAAAGUGAGGUGCAGGGGGAAAAUACUUCAAGCAAUUCCUGACUGCAUCGUUUUUAUUUCCCUUCGAGAGCCGAGGUGCGAGGAAUCAAACCACCAAGGACAUGCGUCAUGUCCAAACGCCUGACACAAAAUCGUAUUCACUUCCUUUCAUAAAUGCCAGUUUUGAAAACUUGGAAUUUACGAGUCAGGGAACAUAUUUUUUUUAAAAAGCCCUGACAUUCUAUUCUAAAUAAAUAAAUAAAUAAAAGCCCUGCCACUCUGAGGCGGGUUUUGAUCUUUCCAGUCUCUAGAAAUGAAAUUCCGAUAGGAAAAGACAAAAAGCAGAAUCCUUUGGUGGAAACAUAUAAUCAGAGGCCUUUGAUAAUAGUGCUUUUUUGAGAUGGUCACUCCACAUUUUCAGAAGGACAAAGAUUUGGGGUGGUGGGGGGAGGAACUAGGGGACAUCUGGGGAAUCUUCAAACCCAAUGGAAGCACCUGACCCGACCAAAACAAACCACGGUCUGAAAAGCGUCUUCCAGAACAGAGUGGCAAACCAUCUGUAUGACCCCCUGAGCCAGGCGUGGCAUAAGACCCCACUGCGUAGGCCGUGGUCUUCCUGUUACCUGCUGCUCUGCUCAGGUGGGUAACG